rnacentral:rRNA from 1 species
GGGUCAGUAGGUUGGUCGUGCCACCGGUCCGUACUGGUCUCACUGAUUCCUCCUUCCUGAAGAACCGUAAUGCCAUUAAUUUGGUGUUGCGGGGAAACAGGACUGUUACUUUGAAAAAAUUAGAGUGUUUAAAGCAAGCUAACGCUUGAAUACAUUAGCAUGGAAUAAUGAAAUAGGACGAUCGAUCCUAUUUUGUUGGUUUCUGGGAUUGACGUA